GUACCGUAGGUCUUACCUUAACAUCUAGCCUUAAGCCCGUUAAUCUAGCAACCAGUUUGCUUUUACUAACUUCUCUCUGCCUUUCUCCAGAUCACCUGCUCCACCUUUGAUGAACCACCCCAACUGGCUCAUUUCAGUGUGAAGAUUCAGUGGUUCUACUCCAAGCUCCUUUGAGAUGAUGUGCUCUGUACCUUGUCUCCAACUGUGAGCCCAGCCACCCUAUGAAGGAAAUUUCAGAUUAGAUUAAACUUUAUUGUCACUGCACAGAGUACUGAGACGAUGAAAUGCAGUGCAAAAAGUGCGAAGUACAUAUGUUUAAGUAAUAAAAUAACAGUGAGGGGUAGCUGUGAAUAUGAUGAUCUAUACGACAUGUACUGCAGUUUCAUUUCGGACCUUGGAACGUUUAUUGACUGCUCCAAUACUAACAUAGCAUAGUGGACACAGAUGAUGUAUCUGGAGGCGAAAGGGGAAAAAUGUGGACCGUAAACUACUACCAACGGUGUCUAUCACAGUUCACAUACCCACUUUCUGCUUCAACUAUGACCUACUACUUUUACCAUAGUGACACUCCCCCAUAAUUCUUGAGUAUUGAGGGGUUAAUAAUUACCUACGUUCCAGUUAGACCUCUAAAUAAUUUGGGUGAACUGUGUGUAUACAACAUAUUACGAUGGUCUGGCUGCUUCUUUUUCUUCCUCUGUUUGACGUAUUUUUAGUUCAAAGAUCUUUGCAAUUACUUAGGCAAGAAGAUAUUUUAUCAGUGCUGGUGGCUAGAGCUAUGAGAAUAAAACCCAAUUUGUAAAUAAAAUAAUUUUUUAAAAUCUAAAUCUUUUUUAAAGCACUUAUGACAAUGUCUUUUUAGCGACUGAGUUGUAUCAAAAAAA